rnacentral:rRNA from 1 species
UACAGAGGGUGCGAGCGUUAAUCGGAAUUACUGGGCGUAAAGGGCUCGUAGGCGGCCAACUAAGUCGGACGUGAAAUCCCUCAGCUUAACUGGGGAACUGCGUCCGAUACUGGAUGGCUUGGAUUUGGGAGAGGGAUGCGGAAUUCCAGGUGUAGCGGUGAAAUGCGUAGAUAUCUGGAGGAACACCGGUGGCGAAGGCGGCAUCCUGGACCAAUAUUGACGCUGAGGAGCGAAAGCCAGGGGAGCAAACGGGG